CCUGUUUUUUUUAGGAGUUUGAUCCUGGCUCAGGAUGAACGCUGGCGGCGUGCCUAAUACAUGCAAGUCGAGCGAACUGAUUAGAAGCUUGCUUCUAUGACGUUAGCGGCGGACGGGUGAGUAACACGUGGGCAACCUGCCUGUAAGACUGGGAUAACUUCGGGAAACCGAAGCUAAUACCGGAUAGGAUCUUCUCCUUCAUGGGAGAUGAUUGAAAGAUGGUUUCGGCUAUCACUUACAGAUGGGCCCGCGGUGCAUUAGCUAGUUGGUGAGGUAACGGCUCACCAAGGCAACGAUGCAUAGCCGACCUGAGAGGGUGAUCGGCCACACUGGGACUGAGACACGGCCCAGACUCCUACGGGAGGCAGCAGUAGGGAAUCUUCCGCAAUGGACGAAAGUCUGACGGAGCAACGCCGCGUGAGUGAUGAAGGCUUUCGGGUCGUAAAACUCUGUUGUUAGGGAAGAACAAGUACGAGAGUAACUGCUCGUACCUUGACGGUACCUAACCAGAAAGCCACGGCUAACUACGUGCCAGCAGCCGCGGUAAUACGUAGGUGGCAAGCGUUAUCCGGAAUUAUUGGGCGUAAAGCGCGCGCAGGCGGUUUCUUAAGUCUGAUGUGAAAGCCCACGGCUCAACCGUGGAGGGUCAUUGGAAACUGGGGAACUUGAGUGCAGAAGAGAAAAGCGGAAUUCCACGUGUAGCGGUGAAAUGCGUAGAGAUGUGGAGGAACACCAGUGGCGAAGGCGGCUUUUGGUCUGUAACUGACGCUAAGCGCGAAAAGAUUUUUC
rnacentral:rRNA from 2 species